UAUAAUUAGACACUAUACGUAUAUUGUUUUUAUACUGAAAUCGAUAAAAAAAUAAAAAAAUAAUAAAAAUAUGAAACAAAUAUUAUUACAUAAGUGUUUGGAAUUUCCCCCUUGGGGUACCAUUUUGGGGUAUUUCCCUAUGAGCGUAGUCUAGGCGGUAAGCAUUGACAAUUUAAGGAAUUAGAAAGGGAAAAUGAAUUUAAUUAAUAACAUUUGAUAAACAUGGUAUAUAAAUUACCAAUUUGAAGACAUAACAGGUUUAAAUUCAUAAAAGUUUGACCAUUGUUACUACACGUUGUCAUGGUUGUGACGUGACGUUGUAAGUAGGCGGGGCUUAUAGGUGAGUUGAGGUCAUUGACGUAUAAAGCUAACGUUUAUAC
rnacentral:lncRNA from 1 species